CAUUCUCAAACCUUCUCGGUUUCUCGACCGGAAAGGCUUUGGACUUUGGAGGCUUUUGCUGACCUUCCUUUGUUGGAAACAGCUCCUCUGAAAUGAAUUAGUAGGGUCUACUUUGCCGAUCCUUGACGUGAUAAAAUGUUUUCUACGUCUCGGGUUUCGCACUGUUUUGUCCUGGAUCCUGCUUCUAACCGUCUCUCAGAAGACAGAUGGUCGAGCGAUCGUCGCUCGACCCACGAA
rnacentral:misc_RNA from 1 species